UGCAAGUCGAACGCGAAAGCGGAGCAAUCCGCAAGUAGAGUGGCGAACGGGUGAGUAAUACAUCGGAACAUUUCCAGUAGCGGGGGAUAACCUGUCGAAAGAUAGGCUAAUACCGCAUACGCCCCACGGGGGGAAAGCGGAGGACCGCAAGGCUUCGCACUAUUGGAGUGGCCGAUGUCGGAUUAGCUAGUUGGCGGGGUAAAAGCCCACCAAGGCGACGAUCCGUAGCUGGUCUGAGAGGACGAUCAGCCACACUGGAACUGAGACACGGUCCAGACUCCUACGGGAGGCAGCAGUGGGGAAUUUUGGACAAUGGGCGCAAGCCUGGUCCAGCCAUGCCGCGUGAGUGAAGAAGGCCUUCGGGUUGUAAAGCUCUUUCGGUGGGGACGAAAAGGUUCGUGCUAGUACCGCGAACUAAUGACGGUACCCGAAGAAGAAGCACCGGCUAACUACGUGCCAGCAGCCGCGGUAAUACGUAGGGUGCAGGCGUUAAUCGGAAUUACUGGGCGUAAAGCGUGCGCAGGCGGUUUGUUAAGACAGAUGUGAAAUCCCCGGGCUUAACCUGGGAACUGCGUUUGUAACUGGCAAGCUAGAGUGUGGCAGAGGGGGGUGGAAUUCCAAGUGUAGCAGUGAAAUGCGUAGAUAUUUGGAGGAACACCAAUGGCGAAGGCAGCCCCCUGGGUUAACACUGACGCUCAUGCACGAAAGCGUGGGGAGCAAACAGGAUUAGAUACCCUGGUAGUCCACGCCCUAAACUAUGUCAACUGGUUGUCGGGGAAGCAAUUCCUUGGUAACGAAGCUAACGCGUGAAGUUGACCGCCUGGGGAGUACGGCCGCAAGGUUAAAACUCAAAGGAAUUGACGGGGACCCGCACAAGCGGUGGAUUAUGUGGAUUAAUUCGAUGCAACGCGAAAAACCUUACCUACCCUUGAC
rnacentral:rRNA from 1 species